UCAAGCGACUAAGUGCAUGUGGUGGAUGCCUUGGCGAUGUCAGGCGAAGAAGGACGUGCAAGCCUGCGAUAAGCUCCGGGGAGCUGGCAAUGAAGCUUUGAUCCGGAGGUUUCCGAAUGGGGAAACCCACUCCGUAAGGAGUAUCGUUAUCUGAAUCCAUAGGGUAACGAAGCGAACCGGGUGAACUGAAACAUCUAAGUAGCCCGAGGAAAAGAAAUCAACCGAGAUUCCCAAAGUAGUGGCGAGCGAAAUGGGAAGAGCCUGCAAGUGAUAAUGACUACGUUAGUGGAAGCGUCUGGAAAGUCGUGCCGUAGAGGGUGAAAGCCCCGUACACGAAAACCUGGUCAUGGUACUAAGCUUGCGACAAGUAGGGCGGGGCACGUGAAACCCUGUCUGAACAUGGGGGGACCAUCCUCCAAGGCUAAAUACUCGACAUCGACCGAUAGUGAACCAGUACCGUGAGGGAAAGGCGAAAAGAACCCCGGGAGGGGAGUGAAAUAGAACCUGAAACCUGAUGCAUACAAACAGUGGGAGCACCCUUGUGGUGUGACUGCGUACCUUUUGUAUAAUGGGUCAACGACUUACAUUCAGUAGCGAGCUUAACCGAAUAGGGGAGGCGUAGGGAAACCGAGUCUUAAUAGGGCGAUUAGUUGCUGGGCGUAGACCCGAAACCGGAUGAUCUAUCCAUGGCCAGGAUGAAGGUGCGGUAACACGCACUGGAGGUCCGAACCCACUAGUGUUGAAAAACUAGGGGAUGAGCUGUGGAUAGGGGUGAAAGGCUAAACAAAUCCGGAGAUAGCUGGUUCUCUCCGAAAGCUAUUUAGGUAGUGCCUCACGUAUCACCUUCGGGGGUAGAGCACUGUUUAGGCUAGGGGGUCAUCGCGACUUACCAAACCUAUGCAAACUCCGAAUACCGAAGAGUGCGAGCGUGGGAGACAGACAUCGGGUGCUAACGUUCGGUGUCGAGAGGGAAACAACCCAGACCGCCGAUUAAGGUCCCCAAGCCAUAGUUAAGUGGGAAACGAGGUGGGAAGGCUCAGACAGCCAGGAGGUUGGCUUAGAAGCAGCCAUCCUUUAAAGAAAGCGUAACAGCUCACUGGUCGAGUCGUCCUGCGCGGAAGAUGUAACGGGGCUUAAACUAUGCACCGAAAUCGCGGAUAUGUACUUGUACAUAUGGUAGGAGAGCGUUCCGUAGGCCGUUGAAGGUGGCUUGUAAAGGCUGCUGGAGGUAUCGGAAGUGCGAAUGCUGACAUGAGUAGCGAUAAAGCGGGUGAAAGGCCCGCUCGCCGAAAGCCCAAGGUUUCCUGCGCAACGUUCAUCGGCGCAGGGUGAGUCGGCCCCUAAGGCGAGGCUGAAAAGCGUAGUCGAUGGGAAACUGGUUAAUAUUCCAGUACCUCUAUGUAAUGCGAUGGGGGGACGGAGAAGGUUAGGUCAGCCGGGUGUUGGACGUCCCGGUUCAAGCGUGUAGUCGUGCCUGGUAGGCAAAUCCGCUAGGCUAAGAUGAGGCGUGAUAACGAGUGGUCUUGUACCGCGAAGUGAUUGAUACCCUGCUUCCAAGAAAAGCCUCUAAGCUUCAGUUACAUAGAGACCGUACCGCAAACCGACACAGGUGGGCAGGAUGAGAAUUCUCAGGCGCUUGAGAGAACUCGGGAGAAGGAACUCGGCAAAUUAGCACCGUAACUUCGGGAAAAGGUGCGCCCCGGUAGGUUGUAGCAACUUGCUUGCGAAGGCCGAUGGGGUUGCAGUGAAAAGGUGGCUGCGACUGUUUAACAAAAACACAGCACUCUGCCAACACGAAAGUGGACGUAUAGGGUGUGACGCCUGCCCGGUGCCGGAAGGUUAAGUGAUGGGGUGCAAGCUCUUGAUCGAAGCCCCGGUAAACGGCGGCCGUAACUAUAACGGUCCUAAGGUAGCGAAAUUCCUUGUCGGGU
rnacentral:rRNA from 1 species